AACGAAUCUCUUUUAGAGAUGAGUGGCGAACGGGUGAGUAAUACAUAGGUAACCUGCCCCUGUGCGGGGGAUAACAGGAGGAAACUCCUGCUAAUACCGCAUAGCCAUGAGCACCGCAUGGAGCUCAUGCCAAAUAUCCUUUAUGGGAUAGCGCAGGGAUGGACCUAUGGCGCAUUAGCUGGUUGGCGGGGCAACGGCCCACCAAGGCAACGAUGCGUAGCCGGCCUGAGAGGGCGGACGGCCACAUUGGGACUGUGACACGGCCCAGACUCCUACGGGAGGCAGCAGUAGGGAAUUUUCGGCAAUGGGGGAAACCCUGACCGAGCAACGCCGCGUGAGCGAAGAAGGCCUUCGGGUCGUAAAGCUCUGUUGUAAAGGAAGAACGGCGCAUACAGGAAAUGGUAUGCGAGUGACGGUACUUUACCAGAAAGCCACGGCUAACUACGUGCCAGCAGCCGCGGUAAUACGUAGGUGGCGAGCGUUAUCCGGAAUCAUUGGGCGUAAAGAGGGAGCAGGCGGCCGCAAGGGUCUGUGGUGAAAGCCCGAAGCUAAACUUCGGUAAGCCAUGGAAACCGGGCGGCUAGAGUGCGGAAGAGGAUCGUGGAAUUCCAUGUGUAGCGGUGAAAUGCGUAGAUAUAUGGAGGAACACCAGUGGCGAAGGCGACGGUCUGGGCCGCAACUGACGCUCAUUCCCGAAAGCGUGGGGAGCAAAUAGGAUUAGAUACCCUAGUAGUCCACGCCGUAAACGAUGGUCACUAAGUGUCGGGGGUCAAACCCCGGUGCUGCAGUCAACGCAAUAAGUGACCCGCCUGAGUAGUACGUUCGCAAGAAUGAAACUCAAAUGAAUUGACGGAAG
rnacentral:rRNA from 1 species